rnacentral:rRNA from 1 species
UACGAAGGGGGCUAGCGUUGCUCGGAAUCACUGGGCGUAAAGGGCGCGUAGGCGGCUUAUCAAGUCGGGGGUGAAAGCCCGUGGCUCAACCACGGAAUGGCCUUCGAUACUGGUAGGCUUGAGACCGGAAGAGGACAGCGGAACUGCGAGUGUAGAGGUGAAAUUCGUAGAUAUCAAGCAGAACACCUGCGGCGAAGGCGGCCUUCUGGACGAUGACUGACGCUGAGACGCGAAAGCGUGGGUAGCAAACAGG